rnacentral:tRNA from 1 species
GGGCCGCUAGCUCAAUUGGUUAGAGCAGGCGCCUCUUAAGCGCAAGGUUCCGAGUUCGAGUCUCGGGCGGCCCA